rnacentral:rRNA from 1 species
UACGGAGGGUGCAAGCGUUAUCCGGAUUUACUGGGCUUAAAGGGCGCGCAGGCGGCUUAGUAAGUCAGUGGUGAAAGCCUUGAGCUUAACUCGAGAACUGCCAUUGAUACUAUUAGUCUUGAAUGUUGUUGAGGUUUGCGGAAUGGGUCAUGUAGCGGUGAAAUGCAUAGAUAUGACCCGGAACACCUAUUGCGAAGGCAGCAGGCUAAACAAAUACUGACGCUGAGGCUCGAAAGCGUGGGGAUCAAACAGG